UCGUACUUCAUCCCAGAGCUGAACAUUGCUUGAAAGCUUGUCCUUAAUGGGAAUGUUUGUUAGGGGUUAUUCAAGUCAACUUUAAUGUAACUCAUCCAAAUACAAGGUGUACAGCUGAAUGGAAUAUUAUUUGAUAGGAUUUAUUUGUUAUGGACAGAUACAAUAUACAUAAGCAAUCUGAAAACAGCCAAAAAUUGCAAGUAUAACAGAAACUAAUUUUCAACAGCGUAUUGUUUCUUUCUGACCAAAUGCUAAGAGAUUAGAACAGCUAACAAUACACAACAACAAUAAAAAGCUGGAUAACACAAAUAGGUUCAAGACAAAAUAGAGGAAAAUCAAUAGACGCUUACAUCCCUUUAAAAUAGAGAAGAUAUUUUGAACUGAAUUUGACAUCCAUUGCUUUUCUCUAGUCAUGGACAUUUAUUAGAGGUUUUCAUCAAAUGAAAUGAUUUAUGGGAUGAAAAUCUGUCCCCGUUUCACAGGGGUCAACCCUAUAAUGCAUCAAUGGAGGUCAUCUGUUUGAGGUGCCACACACAAACCUAUCACACCAAUUUCAUCACAGUUUCACCCUCAGUCUUCCUUAAUGUUUAAAGGGUGGUUACUGGAGAGUCCUGCUGGAGGUCAUGGAAAUCACUGCCACUAAUCUCCCAGGACAGAAAUGAUACAAUUCCAGUUAACUGUCCCCGUCCAAUACUGACACCAGUUUGCCUUUAAAAUACUGAACCAUGUGUGUCUGGCGUAAUACUACUCUUCAUCCUUUCAGCAGUGGUCACUGUGCCCUGACACCAGCACUGAGAGGCAAAAUGAUCCAGAGAAAACGUGAGCCCCUGUCCCCCGCGGUGAUUACGAGCUUGCAAAUAAGGUGACGUGUGCAGAGACGGAGAUCCAUGAGAUAGGCAGCCGGUGCGCAAGUGGGAACGCCGCACAGAGACGAGGGAUCCCCCAACUGGGAUUGUCGGCAGAGCAGCUGGUGUCCGCCAAAGCUACUUCACGCAGGCCUGGGUUGGUAGUCGUCAAACUCCGACCCGGGAAAACCGUGAGUAUCCCAACGAAAUUGUAGGCGGCACCAAGGCAUACUAAAGGGCUGCGAGUGACAUUAUUUUCGACAUGAUUACGUAGAACACACUAGUCGCCAAGGUUGUUCUGGCCCCUCAGGUCUCUUUUUAAAGGGGUCAACGCGAGUCGGGCCGCGUCGAGCAGCAUCGGAGCAACAUCGGAGUAGCAAGAGAAAGUUCCGAGACAAUUGAAGGAACAUUCCACCUCGGACUCUGACUUUUAUUUGACUUUGUUAAGUAGUAUUUUAUUGUUGCAACUCUCUAUAACACCUGUCACUUGUUUUAGAUUAUAUUUAUUAACAUUUUUAUGGUAAUAAAUUAGAUCAUUGUGCA